AUACGUAGGGAGCAAGCGUUGUCCGGAAUCACUGGGCGUAAAGGGCGCGUAGGCGGCUUUUUAAGUCAGGUGUGAAAACCCAAGGCUCAACCUUGGAGUUGCAUCUGAAACUGGGAAGCUUGAGGAUGAGAGAGGAAAGUGGAAUUCCUAGUGUAGCGGUGAAAUGCGUAGAUAUUAGGAGGAACACCAGUGGCGAAGGCGACUUUCUGGCUCAUUCCUGACGCUGAGGCGCGAAAGCGUGGGGAGC
rnacentral:rRNA from 1 species